rnacentral:rRNA from 1 species
UACGGGGGGAGCGAGCGUUGUUCGGAAUCAUUGGGCGUAGAGGGUGCGUAGGUGGAUAGGUAAGUCAGACGUGAAAACUCCGGGCUUAACCCGGAGCUUGCGUUUGAAACUACCUGUCUUGAGUACGGGAGAGGGAAGUGGAAUUUCUGGUGUAGCGGUGAAAUGCGUAGAUAUCAGAAAGAACGCCGGUGGCGAAGGCGGCUUCCUGGCCCGAUACUGACGCUGAGGCACGAAAGCUAGGGGAGCAAACAGGAUUAGAUACCCCAGUA